CGCACAUUGCGCCCCUUGGUAGCCCGGGGGGCAUGCCUGUUCGAGCGUCAUUUCAAAACUAUCAAGCACAGCUUGGUGUUGGGCAUCGUAACCCUCUAAUUUUGCUGUGGUAACGCCCUAAAUGUAAUUGCGGCAGGAGUCAAGCCCGAAGCGUAGUAGAUUUUAUUUUCCCGCUUUCGGAGGCUUUUGGCUGUGUUGCUUUCAAACGCACAUCAAAUCUCAAGAUUGACCUCGGAUCAGGCAAGGGUACCCGCUGAACUUAA
rnacentral:misc_RNA from 1 species